rnacentral:lncRNA from 1 species
CAGAAACGUAAGAGCGGCCGAAGCAAGAGCCAGGUCCCGGGGGGAAGGGCGCCCGUCGGUUCAGAGAGGAGCCCGGGCAGGCUGGAGCCACGCGACCGAGGGGGCGCAGGGGAGGGACCUACGGACUCAGCCCCCGCCCGUCCGUGCGGAGGGAGGGCCGGAGGCAGACGGGGCGGUCCUGCUCCCCCGACGGACGGCGCGGGGGCGGGGAGAUCAGUCACCGGGACGUGCUCCGGGACUGGAGGGAGGGACGAGCGCGGGAGGGGAAGGAAGUGUGCAGGAGGCUCUCCCGGCUGCCAGAGCUCUCCCAGGCGUGCGGGGGGCGUCAGGCCCAGGCUCUGAGACCCCCCGGGAUUCAGCCCCAGGGCGAGGGAUCAGGAGGGCAGAGGGACUCGGAGACACAGCAUGACCCCAGCUCCCGCCAGAUGCAAAGUAGUUUGACUCUGGAUCGUCGACACGCACGACUCCGCAAACGCCUGGAGGCGAGCUUCCACAGCGGACACAGCACAUCAAGCUCCAAGGGUCUCGACGCUAGCUCAUCUCGAGGAGCUUCUUCAGGUUCAGGAAGCAGAGCGCCAGGGUUUGAACCACAGCAGAAGGAAGCUUUCUGCAAAGACCGUCUGUAAUGAAGGACUGGAGUGUUGAAUAAAGUG